UACGUAGGGACCAAGCGUUGUUCGGAUUUACUGGGCGUAAAGGGCGCGUAGGCGGCAAUUCAAGUCAUCUGUGAAAUCUCCGGGCUUAACUCGGAACGGUCAGAUGAUACUGCUUUGCUAGAGUGCGGAAGGGGCAAUCGGAAUUCUUGGUGUAGCGGUGAAAUGCGUAGAUAUCGAGAGGAACACCUGCGGCGAAGGCGGGUUGCUGGGCCGACACUGACGCUGAUGCGCGAAAGCCAGGGGAGCGAACGGG
rnacentral:rRNA from 1 species